UACGAAGGGGGCGAGCGUUGUUCGGAAUUACUGGGCGUAAAGGGCGCGCAGGCGGCUCAGACAGUCAGAUGUGAAAGCCCCGGGCUUAACCUGGGAACUGCAUUUGAUACUACUGAGCUUGAGUACGGGAGAGGAUAGUGGAAUUCCCAGUGUAGAGGUGAAAUUCGUAGAUAUCGGGAGGAACACCGGUGGCGAAGGCGGUUCUCUGGGCCUGUACUGACGCUGAGGAGCGAAAGCGUGGGGAGCGAACAGG
rnacentral:rRNA from 1 species